rnacentral:rRNA from 1 species
GAGAAGUUAAGCCUGAUCACGCCGAUGGUACUGCGUAACAGUGGGAGAGUAGGUAGUCGCCGUUUUUUUCAGAUGGUUCAUCCCCUUCGGUCGAAAGACCGGAGGGGAUGACUUGUUUUAUACGGGGGGCGGAGGAAAGGGAGCGCCAGGCUGCCCUCCGGAUAACACUUUCUUAAUGGAGAUGGCUAUGGGAAAUCCGAUAGCCUUUUCUUGUCCUAUAUAACGGUUAUUGGAAGAGGUGGGUAUCUCCGCAUCCUUUGGAGGCACGGAGCCUUGCAAAAGAGGCGAUUUAAGCGAAUUAUAGGAAGUUUCACUGUUUUGAAUAAUUUGUUUUAUAGGAGGCGAAGUCAAAAGAACCUUUUGCAAUAUACUUUUUUUUAACUUGAUUAAUCUUUUAUAUAAAAGAAAGAAUCUUUUAGUUAAAACAAAAACCGAUUGAGAGUGUUUUAAUGAUAGAGUUCAAUUUUUGAUAAUUAAAAGAUGUAAAUUGUGGUGACUCUAUGCAAUUAGUUACUAUUUUUGCCCCGAAAAUCGAAAAGAGAGUUUAUCAAUAAAAAUAGGACGAUGAGAACUUCUGUAAAAUUCAUAUUAAUGUUUGUUCUGCUGAUGCUAUCCUUUAGCAUAAGUGGAAAUGCAUUGAA